CUACGGGGCGCUCCAGUGAGGAAUAUUGCACAAUGGAGGAAACUCUGAUGCAGCAACGCCGCGUGGAGGAUGACGCAUUUCGGUGUGUAAACUCCUUUUAUAUGUCAAGAAAAUGACGGUAGCAUAUGAAUAAGCUCCGGCUAACUCCGUGCCAGCAGCCGCGGUAAUACGGAGGGAGCAAGCGUUACUCGGAAUCACUGGGCGGAAAGGACGCGUAGGCGGGAUAGAAAGUCAGGUGUGAAAUCCUAUGGCUCAACCAUAGAACUGCACUUGAAACUUCUAACCUAGAGUAUGGGAGGGGAAGAUGGAAUUAGUGGUGUAGGGGUAAGAUCCGUAGAUAUCACUAGGAAUACCAAAAGCGAAGGCGAUCUUCUGGAACAAUACUGACGCUAAGGCGUGAAAGCGUGGGGAGCAAACAGGAUUAGAUACCCUCGUAGUC
rnacentral:rRNA from 1 species